ACAAACAAGCCACAUAUUUUAUACUAAACUUAAUAACAUGACACAUUCGAUAACUUUUUAUCACAUGCAGUGAACUCAUUCUCAUAAGCUUCUUCAUACUAAAAGCUAGUCAAGUUCAUACACGUUAUCAUUCUUCUUCUUCUUCAUAAGCUUUCUUCCAUGUAUAUGUUCUUCCAUUUUUCUUUUUUUUUCACAUGCUUUUAUUAGGCAUGAUUUUC
rnacentral:lncRNA from 1 species